rnacentral:rRNA from 1 species
UGAGGAAUUUUGCGCAAUGGGAGCAAUCCUGACGCAGCAACGCCGCGUGGGUGAUGAAGGCCUUCGGGUCGUAAAGCCCUGUCAGGUGGGAAGAAUGUCCCGGAACUGAACAGGUUUCGGGAGUGACGGUACCACCAGAGGAAGCACCGGCUAACUCCGUGCCAGCAGCCGCGGUAAUACGGAGGGUGCGAGAGUUAUUCGGAAUUACUGGGCGUAAAGCGCGUGCAGGCGGCCAUGCAAGUCUGAUGUGAAAGCCCCGGGCUUAACCUGGGAAGUGCAUUGGAAACUGCAUGGCUUGAGUACUGGAGAGGAAGGGGGAAUUCCCGGUGUAGAGGUGAAAUUCGUAGAGAUCGGGAGGAAUAUCAGUGGCGAAGGCGCCCAUCUGGACGGUAACUGACGCUGAGACGCGAAAGCGUGGGGAGCAAACA